GUUAGCACUCGCUGGGGGCAGAGAGUGUGCUGGUGAUGAUACCCAGGUAGACACACCACCGUGCCUUUGGUAUUACUGGGAUCUGGGUUGGGUGGGUUCUGCUUGGCUCCCUUCAUGGAGAGCAAUCCUAAUAACAACAGUAUGAAUAGUGAAACCUGGAUGUCAGUGCAGACAUGCUGUUUUCUGUCUUCUCCGGGAUUUCUAGGCUUUCCCAGGGAUGGAUGUCAGUGCAGAGCUGGCCCCUCCUUCGUGCUACGGCACCCCCUCAGAAAUGGAAGUAGACUCUAUCUUUAGCCUCUGCUCUGGGCAUCGUCCUCUUUUCCAAAAACAGAUGUAUGGAGACAAGCAAUAUAAUGAAGAUGGGAAUAAGGACUUUAAAUGAAGAGUUUACACUUCAAAGGACUUGAAAUUUAUAUUUCAAAUGUCACUUCCAAAUGAGGCUGUACACAUGGACAGAACACAAUAAACAGAUUUGGAAAAUGACA
rnacentral:lncRNA from 1 species